GUGAAGUGAUGAUAAAAAUUCAUGCUUUAAAUCACUGACUUUGUGAUGUUACUGUUUAUCUCGACAGGAUCUGAUCAC